rnacentral:misc_RNA from 1 species
GUGGGAGGGGGCUUGCUCCCGAUUACGGUGUGUCAGUCGCGAAUACUUUGACUGAACCACCGCAAUCGGGAGCAAGCCCCCUCCCAC